rnacentral:rRNA from 1 species
GUGGGUAGUUUGACUGGGGCGGUCUCCUCCUAAAGAGUAACGGAGGAGCACGAAGGUUGGCUAAUCCUGGUCGGACAUCAGGAGGUUAGUGCAAUGGCAUAAGCCAGCUUGACUGCGAGCGUGACGGCGCGAGCAGGUGCGAAAGCAGGUCAUAGUGAUCCGGUGGUUCUGAAUGGAAGGGCCAUCGCUCAACGGAUAAAAGGUACUCCGGGGAUAACAGGCUGAUACCGCCCAAGAGUUCAUAUCGACGGCGGUGUUUGGCACCUCGAUGUCGGCUCAUCACAUCCUGGGGCUGAAGUAGGUCCCAAGGGUAUGGCUGUUCGCCAUUUAAAGUGGUACGCGAGCUGGGUUUAGAACGUCGUGAGACAGUUCGGUCCCUAUCUGCCGUGGGCGCUGGAGAACUGAGGGGGGCUGCUCCUAGUACGAGAGGACCGGAGUGGACGCAUCACUGGUGUUCGGGUUGUCAUGCCAAUGGCACUGCCCGGUAGCUAAAUGCGGAAGAGAUAAGUGCUGAAAGCAUCUAAGCACGAAACUUGCCCCGAGAUGAGUUCUCCCUGAGACUUUAGGUCUCCUGAAGGAACGUUGAAGACGACGACGUUGAUAGGCCGGGUGUGUAAGCGCAGCGAUG